rnacentral:rRNA from 1 species
GGGGAUUACCUUAGUACGGCGAGUGAAGCGGUAAAAGCUCAAAUUUGAAAUCUGGUACUUUCAGUGCCCGAGUUGUAAUUUGUAGAAUUUGUCUUUGAUUAGGUCCUUGUCUAUGUUCCUUGGAACAGGACGUCAUAGAGGGUGAGAAUCCCGUUUGGCGAGGAUACCUUUUCUCUGUAAGACUUUUUCGAAGAGUCGAGUUGUUUGGGAAUGCAGCUCAAAGUGGGUGGUAAAUUCCAUCUAAAGCUAAAUAUUGGCGAGAGACCGAUAGCGAACAAGUACAGUGAUGGAAAGAUGAAAAGAACUUUGAAAAGAGAGUGAAAAAGUACGUGAAAUUGUUGAAAGGGAAGGGCAUUUGAUCAGACAUGGUGUUUUUUGCAUGCACUCGCCUCUCGUGGGCUUGGGCCUCUCAAAAAUUUCACUGGGCCAACAUCAAUUCUGGCAGCAGGAUAAAUCAUUAAGAAUGUAGCUACUUCGGUAGUGUUAUAGCUUUUUGGAAUACUGUUAGCCGGGAUUGAGGACUGCGCUUCGGCAAGGAUGUUGGCAUAAUGGUUAAAUGCCGCCCGUCUUAA